AGAGUUCCAAGACCGAGGCCAAGCAGUAACUGAGAUGAAGAUACCAGAAGCAGCACGAAACUGUGAAAGCUGCAGGAACAAAUAUUAGAGAGAAAUAGGCUCUCCAUAUUUGCUGCCCACGCCUUCUGGACGUGCACCCCCCUGGCUGCUCCCGGACACUCAUCCAGUCAGUGACACGCAAGCAGCGGGUCACUAUGGUAACAGUGACGUCGGCGCAAGUCAGUGUGGGAGGCAACGUGACCGGAAGUCACGGCUCAGCAGGAGAAGACGCCGGGGAUCGGAGGUAUUUAGGAGGAUGGAGCUUAUGAAGACACUCGAAUACAAGGAAUGGAAAUCACACAAUGAGAGGUCCACUUUUUCCUGUCUCUACUCAGAUAACCAAGGUUUAACCCAUAUGUCAGAGGAGUGAAAUUAUCAGGUUGAGCUUCCUGUUAGAUACCAUGGCUAAGAAAAAAAGACAAGAUUUCCAGCAAGCUAACCCCAAUUUCAGGGCAGCACACAGAACAAUGGGGAUUCGGUAACAUUUGAAGUGCUUUAUUUAAUAUGUAUGAGAUCACAUUUUAGAUGGUAAAGAA